UCAAUUGCUCUGUCAAUGAAGGCCUAAAA
rnacentral:piRNA from 1 species